GUGGGGAAUCUUCCGCAAUGGACGAAAGUCUGACGGAGCAACGCCGCGUGAGUGAUGAAGGUCUUCGGAUUGUAAAGCUCUGUUAAUCGGGACGAAAGAGCCUAGUGUGAAUAAUGCUAGGAAGUGACGGUACCGGAAUAGAAAGCCACGGCUAACUACGUGCCAGCAGCCGCGGUAAUACGUAGGUGGCAAGCGUUGUCCGGAAUUAUUGUGCGUAAAGCGCGCGCAGGCGGAUCUGCCAGUCUGUCUUAAAAGUUCGGGGCUUAACCCCGUGAUGGGAUGGAAACUACAGAUCUAGAGUAUCGGAGAGGAAAGUGGAAUUCCUAGUGUAGCGGUGAAAUGCGUAGAUAUUAGGAAGAACACCAGUGGCGAAGGCGACUUUCUGGACGAAAACUGACGCUGAGGCGCGAAAGCCAGGGGAGCGAACGGGAUUAGAUACCCGAGUAGUCC
rnacentral:rRNA from 1 species